GAACCGGCGUCAAACCCGGCGGAUGGCCGGACCCCGCCGCCGCCCCCGGGCCCCGCCGCUCCCCGGGGCUGGGCAGCCCCCGCCGCGGGGAAUUAAGAUUCAUGACAUGCAAACAGCGAGGGCACAUUAGAUCCUCUCUCCCCCUUCACACUGACAGUAGAUAAAACUCUGGAGAACCGGAAUAAAACAAACUGCUACUCCUCUCAGAAGACUCACUUGUCAUCUGCAUCCUUCCUCAACAGGAACAUGCAGCCAGGUCGCAAUUAAAUAUACAGAUACACGAGCUGUUAGCAAGACUUCACCCUCGCAGCCGAAUCCGAAAGCAGCCGAGCCGGGGAAAUGAUGGCCCUGUCACAUCCUUUAGACUUAAAAUGCCUCCAAACUCGCCGGCAGAGCCCGCGGCUCUCGCUCGGGGGCUCCCUUUUGUCGGCGCCCCUCGCCCUGCCCACGGCGGCUCCGGGGCUCUCCUCCUCCUCCUCCGGCACAGAUGGGAAGAGACGAACCUGACCGCAGCGCUUCACGGUCACCUUUCGGAGCAGAAGAAAAGCAAGACAGCGCUUCGCAGAGUGCGAAUGAAAACCCAGUGCCAGUUUCAAACGCUCUCCUGCUCCUACAAUAGCGUACUCAGGAAGGGGAUCGUGCUGUCUUAACGGUACUAAGCUGAACUGUUUCAAUUACAGAGCUGUAAAUAAAGAUACAGCUUAUUUUAUAGAUCUAAUUAUUCAGUUUUCACAAAUUUUUCAUCACCAUUAAAUUCAUUAGGAAAAAAUAUAUAUAAUAUUGAUAUCCAGAAAAAAAAAAUACUUACAAAGUAAAUUAAUUUCUUCAGCUAUACUUGUCCGUCCCAGCCUGGACCAUUAGAACUGACACCCGAGGGGAGGUCUGCAGACCAUGAAGCCUCCUCAGUGUGAGCUGAGCACCCACAAAUGCAGCCUGGGCUUGACCAAGAAGACAGGAGGAGAGCCAGGAAGGGGACAGCAUUUUCUGUACUUUAACCGAUCAGAAUUGUUGCACCAACUAGAUUUUCUAACACCAUUAGGUCCCAAGACAGGAGCAUCUUAGCAAAAAAAAAAAAUACCUGGGACGACGCGGCAGCCAGGGCAGGGUGGGCAGCACAGGUGCAGUGCAUCUCCUGCCUGAAUCAGGGCACAACUCACACACCUGCAUGCUGUGCCGCGUUUGGGUGGAUUUCAGCUUCCACCGUGCUGAGACCCCCCACCACAAAAGCUCUGCACAAGCACUAAGAUGGUCUUAACACUGUCCCUGUAGGAAAAACCCCAGCCUUCUAACCAGACAGAAAAAAGCAUCGCUGGCAAGGAUUGCUAAGUAAUGGCAUGUCCAAGUUGUGACUUGCUGGGAAAUAGCGACAGUGGCCUUAGGAGAGCCACGCCGUGGCUUUGGUCCUGCCCAGCCCUCACCCCAGUACCGACUACUGCUUCUCCGGUGAGACCGACUGAAAAGGAUUUCUUGUAGGAUCAGGCCAGUGACUGCUCCUGUUGUGUUAGGUUCCCCCCAUCUAACCUCUGGAGAUCGCUUUACACCCCAAGGGAACUGAACACAGAACAGAUAACACCGGGGCUCGGGCAGACACUGAUUAAAUUGUUGAACUUCACCAAGUGGACUCGAUUAACCGCAGACUUGGCGCUGGAUGUCACCUUCAGACGAGCACCACCAGCCUGCCCGUUCCUCCCGGAGCCCCCUGCACGCCGGCGGGGGGAUGACAAAAUGGAGCCUGACCGGGCCCCCCGGGCGCGGAGGCAACUGAGGCUGCUCGGAAAGAAGCCGGCUACUGAAAAGCAGCGGCCCCAAAUGUCCGCCAGCGUCAAAUAUAG